rnacentral:rRNA from 1 species
UACGUAGGGUGCAAGCGUUGUCCGGAAUUAUUGGGCGUAAAGAGCUCGUAGGCGGUCUGUCGCGUCUGCUGUGAAAACUCGGGGCUUAACCCCGGGCCUGCAGUGGGUACGGGCAGACUAGAGUGCGGUAGGGGAGACUGGAAUUCCUGGUAUAGCGGUGAAAUGCGCAGAUAUCAGGAGGAACACCAGUGGCGAAGGCGGCUC